GCCGCCGCCUUCCCCGCCCCCUCGUGGCCCGAGGGCGGGCGCUGAUUGGCUGGCGCGGGGCGCGGGACGCCGAGAAGCCCCGCCCGCGGCUCCGCCCCCCCUCUCUCCUCCUCCUCCUCCUCCCCCCUCCCACCCUUGCGCCGGGGGAGCGGGGGCGCCGCCGCCGGCUGUGGCACUGCCGGACACCGGAACGGAGCCCAACCAGCACCUUCCUAGAAAGAGUCCCGGCACAGCGCAGCGAGUGCCUCGCAGCCGUUGCACCGCGCAGCUUCUCAGGCUCACCCGUGGAGUUCCCCGCGGCCACCUGCCCUUUCUGCGCGCCCAGCCUCGAGCGUUCACGUCACCCCGCACGCAUUUUCCAGUCCUGUAACCAGCGGGUGAAAAGCACCAAACUGAACGACCAAAAUCCCUGUUUCACUUGAAAUGCUCACGCCGGUUUCCAUGCGAAACGGUCCCUCUGCGCCUGCAGGUGUCGGAUCCUCGUAUGCCUCUUCAAGGCUCCGCGCCGAAACGUGAAGUACUGAUACAGGGACUGAUGGAAAUCAGAGCUAUACCUUUAGGCAAAUUUAUCUUUUAUGUAUAAAAUCUGUCACACGUGGUUGCUGCUGUAAGCUCCCUUCCAGUCCCUGCUCCACAGUGUGAGACCGAGCCCACCCCGCUACCCCAGAACCGACGGGGCUCUGCCCGUGUCCCCUCGGGUUCUCUUCCUGCCCCGUGUUUCUUCCUCAGAUCUUUGCUGGCAGAAAGUGCCGAUGGAUCUCACUGUGUUAUCCAGCAGCAGCUGGGACAUGGCCCUGGGAACCCUCCAGGAGGGCAGGGUGGUGGUGUGCCUGGAGCCACUCUCCCCUGGGGCCGCUCUCCCCACGGGCUUCAAACAGCUUGGGAAGGUUUCAUAUUCUUUUGCCAUGAAGGUUUCAUAUUAUUUUGCCACCGCGUGUAGCUCCCUCCCCUCCUUAAUGAGAAGUGUGUAUUGUGUUUUAGGUGAAUACCGCAAUUACUCAGCCUGUCCUUAGAAGAGAGGUGGUUUCUCCUCAUUAAGAAGGAAAGAAUGCACAUGGGGAAAAAAAAAAAAAGAAAAAAAAAAAAAGAAAAAAGGAAAAAAGAGAAGCUGGAGGAAAAAUCAGCGUGGUUCAUGUGGUUUUGGUGUGCAAAUCACCAUAAACAAGAUGUGAGAGGAGAGGCAAGGAGCACAGCAAUGCACCCCUUCGGAGGAGUGUCAGAGACUGCAGACUCUGCGUGUCCGGGCUGAAUUGAGGCCCUUUAUGUGCCACCCUUCCCAAGUCGCAGUGUCACCGAUCUCCUCAAGGACUUUUCCAGCUUCUAGCCCCAGGGGAAGCAGGUAGAAGUCAUGUUCCCGUAGCACGAGAGAUCCUGGAAUCGCCCCAGCACAUUUCCGUUGCUUUACAAGGAGCAUGUGAACGCUGCAACGUGCGCUCCGCGGCGCCGGCACAGCCAAGGCGAAGCCGCAUGCAAAUGCUUGGUGGCUAAUCACGGGAAUUGGCCGUGCAAAGUAAGCGCGCAGGGACACGCACGCGUGUUGGUGGAUUCUGCCGGCUGCUGUGUGCCUGUGGCUGGGAUCUUUCAGGAGAAAACCCCAAGGAACACAGCAGUGGUCACAGACAGCCCAGGCGUGCUCCCUGGGGUCGGGAGCGGUGCUGGGGGAAAGCUGCAUCCCGCUCACACGCCGCGCGCUGCUCCGCAGUGCUCUGAUUGCAGGUGCUCUGUUCAGCACUGCUCUGUCUUACGCUGAUCUUGGUUGUAGGAGAUUUUGCAUUUAAUAAAUAAAGAUGGUUA